UCUUUCCUUGUCUUGGGGUGAGUGAGCUGCUCAAUGAACGUAUAGUGAGAGUAGCCCUGCUAACACCAUGAACAACACCUAUGCAUCACCUGAGCUUCAUGUUCAGAUAAUGGUGCAAUUUUUGGAAAC